rnacentral:lncRNA from 1 species
AAGAAGAGAAAGUGUCUCAGGCAGAGAACAGGACAGUCCAGCGCUGGGAGCCAGAGUUCCCUGCCGGCUGCGUCUAGAACCCACCUUUGAAUGUGAGCACCCAGGCCUGCGGUGCUCAGCAUAGCGCUCGUCAGCCCUUUAUUCACAGCAACUUAGUUGCAGAUAAGUUCCUGCAGAAAGUCCCUUGGAGGUUUGUGGUUUGCAGCUCCACCACAGAU